GUUGUGUUGUUAGUUCUUCCCUUCUUUCAAGGAUCAUGAUUUGUCAUAGAUAUUUCACUGGAAGUCACUACUGAAGUUAGAAAAAACUAUGGAUACAUUCUGGAAAAGGCGAUUAGAAUUUUGGCACGCUAGAGAAUCUGAAUUGAAAGGCGAUGGAGAAAGUGAUUAAAGUGUGUUCAUUGUCCAUAGCUUAGUUUACAUCAGCAGAUUUUUGCCUCUAGUUAGCCAAACCUUAGUUCUUGACAAAAUUUCAAAAGCAGGCAGCCACAUAUGGCUUUCUCAUCCUCAAGCACCCACAGAUUUUAGGACCUUCAAUGUGACAUGCCCUGAUGCCCCUGAAAGUAAGGAACCAAGAUGUUGCAACUUUUGGUCAUCAGCUGAAGCCAUGGUUCACUGCAGUGCUUGAUCUUGAUAUUGGCAUUGAACAAAGACAUGAUGGAACCUCUCUUUUGUAUCAAUAUAUAUUUUUUAGUUUGAUGUCAGUGGCUCAGUACUCUAAUAGGAAACAAAGGUAAAUUAUAUCUAUUUAUUCCAACAUGCGUUUCCACAUGGAAGGCUGAUUGCAAAUAUUAUAGAAUUGAACACCAAAACUCAUCUGCAUAGAUGCAUUAAAUCUCUUUGGAUGACAUUCCAUUUCUUUGUUCUCUAUGAAGCGGGAUUUCUUAUACUGCUUCGUAUUACAGAUUAGUGAUCAAGAGGGAGGACCACCUUACAAUAAAUAAUACGGUUGCUGACUAUCAGAAGGUACUGGAACCGUUGGUUUCAAGGCUGUUCUUAUGGAAGACAAUGAGCUACCAAUUAAACCACGGAAGAGCUGCGAGAAACUUGGGAAGUGGAAGAGAUGCGGCGACCAUUCAUCUCUUUGAGAAAAGAUACAGCAGU